AGCUAAAUAAAUAAAUAAAUAAAUAAAUAGCAGAUACGAGUUCGUUACCUAAAUGAGUGACCCUCGCUUAUAUUUAAUCUCUCUGAUCUUUUCAGUGUGAUUGGUGCGUACCAACUGCAGGUUGACUUUAACUAUGUUAAACUAUGGUUAACCUCUGAAGCCUCCACCCUCAGCAGUUCUCUCCAGUCCGAUCUCGCUUUUCUCGACGUUUUCCGACACCUGAACGAAGCUGUCCGACUGUUGAUGAUCCAGCCAAAGAACAAACGGAAUCGAAUUGUUGUGAACGAGAAUGGCCUCGAUCCUGAAAUGGAGUCAAACUUGAGCACAAUCAGCGGUAGUUCUGUACUCUCAGGUACUUCAAGUUACGACGGUGAAACGGACUUGCUGAAUAACCAAGUGAUUCCCAAUAAAGAUCAGUGGUUAAAUUUGAGGUUAAGAAAGGGAAAACCUAGAAUGCCGCUUGUAAUUCCAAGCUGUUUAAGAGCUUCUGAGCAAACGUAAUAACAUGAAAUAUUUUGGUCAUUUACUGCUGCGGAUUGCCUUACUAGAUUCUCGGAUGAGGAAUUAUGGCAGUGAAAAGAAGGUUUUCAGAGGCCGGUUGUUCAAAGCCAGGUUAGCUUAACCCUAGGUUAACCUAAUAUUCAAAGCAAAUUUCCUGACAGCUUGUCUAUAAAUUUGGAAAUAUUUCUUCAGAGAUCUUGUCUGGAUCGAUAGGAGUUUACUUCUCGGAGGUUUUGAAAUAAACAGACAUGCAAAAAUACUCAAACUAAUACAACAGGUUAAAUUUUAACCCAGGGUUAGCGCUAACCCACCUUUGAACAACCGGCCAAUUUGGAAUAGCCUUCGACCACAGCUUUGACUGUGCACAAGAAACAAAAGUUAUAUAUAGUCAUAGUAUUUUUAAAUUUUAAGAUAUUGCGCAAGAAGUGUCCCACUUCGUCCCCGCUAUGGAUUUACAUUGUAGAGGUUAAGACUUAAGAUACCCUGGUUCCGGUUUAUGGGUUCAGGUGAUAAACACGUACCGUACAUUGGGGGUACGAAAUUAAGAAACCCAUGAUAUUCCAGGGUACGAAAACCGAUCCGAGAAUGGUAGUUUUCGUUGUCAAGGUUCACCAUGGAUUUGGAAAAAAAUUGUCUAGCAAAUGUGCAUUAAUUUAUUUAGGUAAGAUGUUGAAGUAUUUUAAAACACCCGUACCCGUUUGUCUUUUACGCGUAGACCAUGGUUUACCGCGAGGAAACGGGUAGAAAUUACGGGUAAACAUACUGGCAUCAGCAAAAUGUGGUAAACAAAAUGGCGACACCCGUAAACCGGAACCGGGUAUCCUAACCUCUCCAUUUAUGGUUCUCUGCGCGCCUACAAACGCCAUUAAGAAUACGUCUUGUGAAUAAUUUAUAUAGCGCCUGCAUGGAGACGAGGCAGAGCAAUGCGCAGAAUGGUGUGUAACUCAGUCUUGCUGCGCUCGGCAUGAAUGGUGUUGUACAGAAAAAUACAAAUGUACUGGAACAUGAUACCGAAAUUAUAACCAACUAAUUAUAAUUACAUGUAUCAAACUGUUUCGAGCGUGGCAUACUUUUUCAUAUAUAUAUAUGUGUUAUUGGUCGAUGGUGUUAAAUGGUUUCCAGUACAAGACAAUGGAAAUUUUUUAUCAGGAUAACUAGUCGAACAUGAAAUUAAUAAAACCAUACGAGGUUUUUCGGAGUUCCCAUUGUCUUUUUAUGUUCCCAACGUCUUUGUCAAAAGGCGGCGAUGAUGUAAUUCACCCGCCAAGCCGUUAGAUGGUUUCCAUUCGUGGUCAUGAUGGUCGCGAGCAUAUGUCAAGGUAGCCGAUAUAAAAGAAGUGUCGAUGUAUCUCAUUCAAUGAUGUAUCUCCACAAUUUAAAAUAGUUGAAACGCACAACAAAAUGAAAAUGACAGCCAGACUAAAACAGUGAACUCCAGAAUAAAUUGAGUUCACUGGCCUAAAACUAGCCUAUACAUCAAUACAUCAGACGGUUAGCACUAUUUUCCAUCCAGCAAACCGCCC